rnacentral:lncRNA from 10 species
GUAUGUAGAGUGCCUGGGAUUUUGUAGCCUCUCAAUAAAAUAGAAAACAUACCUGAGUGACUGGGGGGAGUUGAGGCCUGGAUCUUGUCUGCAAGGCCCCCAGCCAGCGUGACUGCCUUUUCCCUGUGCCCUGCAGAUAUUGCAGUGGGUGCCCCCUUUGAUGGUGAUGGGAAAGUCUUCAUCUACCAUGGGAGCAGCCUGGGGGUUGUCGCCAAACCUUCACAGGUGCUGGAGGGCGAGGCUGUGGGCAUCAAGAGCUUCGGCUACUCCCUGUCAGGCAGCUUGGAUAUGGAUGG